rnacentral:lncRNA from 1 species
ACGAGGAAUGUGAACUAUGGAUGGAUGGUUCGAUGCACUUUGUGAUUGAGAUGACAGAAGAGAGAGAGCACAACCAGAGUCCGGAAUUCCAGAAAGUCCUUGGAUGGUUGAUGCUGCAUCAUAAACUCCAAAGUCUUCGCUUGAUAAGGUAGUUUGGUGGAACAAAGGAUGUGUAUCAAUAUGGGGACCUCCCACAUUAUGUGAAUAUUGGCAAGUUGUCUCACUUAGCAUGUUUACUGUAGGUGCUGUACUAGUUCCAUUUUCUUGGAAAGGAGGAAUCUGCACUUCGAAAUCAUAGGGAAGCAAGGGAGAUUUCACAUUCAGAUGCCUGUUGCUCAGUGAAGUUGCAGAUAUAGAAUUAUAAUCACUCUUCCCCUCAACUUUUACACG